rnacentral:rRNA from 1 species
GAUCCUGGCUUAGGAUGAACGCUAGCUACAGGCUUAACACAUGCAAGUCGAGGGGCAGCAUUGGAGUAGCAAUACUCAGAUGGCGACCGGCGCACGGGUGAGUAACACGUAUCCAACCUGCCGCUUACUCGGGGACAGCCUUUCGAAAGAAAGAUUAAUACCCGAUGGUAUAAAGAGUUCGCAUGUUCUCUUUAUUAAAGAAUUUCGGUAAGCGAUGGGGAUGCGUUCCAUUAGAUAGUUGGCGGGGUAACGGCCCACCAAGUCUACGAUGGAUAGGGGUUCUGAGAGGAAGGUCCCCCACAUUGGAACUGAGACACGGUCCAAACUCCUACGGGAGGCAGCAGUGAGGAAUAUUGGUCAAUGGACGAGAGUCUGAACCAGCCAAGUAGCGUGAAGGAUGACUGCCCUAUGGGUUGUAAACUUCUUUUAUAAGGGAAUAAAGUGAGGGACGUGUCCCUUUUUGUAUGUACCUUAUGAAUAAGGAUCGGCUAACUCCGUGCCAGCAGCUGC